rnacentral:rRNA from 1 species
GGAAUAUUGCACAAUGGGCGCAAGCCUGAUGCAGCAACGCCGCGUGAGCGAUGAAGGUCUUCGGAUUGUAAAGCUCUGUCCUUGAGGACGAAAAAUGACGGUACUCUUGGAGGAAGCCCCGGCUAACUACGUGCCAGCAGCCGCGGUAAUACGUAGGGGGCGAGCGUUAUCCGGAAUUAUUGGGCGUAAAGAGUACGUAGGUGGUUUUGUAAGCGUAGGGUGAAAGCCCGGGGCUUAACUCCGGCGAGCCCUACGAACUGCAAGACUUGAGUGCAGGAGGGGAAAGUGGAAUUCCUGGUGUAGCGGUGAAAUGCGUAGAUAUCAGGAGGAACACCGGUGGCGAAGGCGACUUUCUGGACUGUAACUGACACUGAGGUACGAAAGCGUGGGGAGCAAACA